AUCAUAAUUAAAGCGCCAGGACUGCUUUUGAACGGAAAGAAAGGCAGUUGACGAGGUGAGGGUUUAUCGAUUUUUUCGGCGGAUGCCCUCCGGUUGCCGCAUGACGACCGUUAAGCUUUUGUAAAAAACGAAGGGGUGACUCUUUGGACAAAAUCAAAAGCUGCAUGCCCA
rfam:Bacillus alcalophilus ATCC 27647 = CGMCC 1.3604 strain AV1934 contig00103, whole genome shotgun sequence.